GACGAACCGUGCAAACGUUGUUCGGAUUCACUGGGCUUAAAGGGCGCGUAGGCGGGCACUCAAGUCAGGGGUGAAAUCUUUCGGCUUAACCGGAAAAGUGCCUCUGAUACUGGGUGUCUCGGGGGAGGUAGGGGCGUGUGGAACUUCCGGUGGAGCGGUGAAAUGCGUAGAUAUCGGAAGGAACGCCGGUGGCGAAAGCGACGCGCUGGACCUCUUCUGACGCUGAGGCGCGAAAGCCAGGGGAGCAAACGGG
rnacentral:rRNA from 1 species